UCCACCCCCAUCGUUCUGCCCGGACACUGAGGUCCAGCACCGAGGGCCUUCUGGUGGUUCCCUUGCUGCGAGAAGCCAAGUUACAGGGAACCAGACAGAGGGCCUUCUUGGUGGUGGCACCUGACCUGUGGAACGCCUUCCCACCAGAUGUCAAAGAGAAAAAUAACUACCAGACUUUUAGAAGACAUCUGAAGGCAGACCUGUUUAGGGAAGCUUUUAAUGUUUAUAGGUUAUUGUAUUUUAGUGUUUUGUUGGAAGCCGCCCAGAGUGGCUGGGGAAACCCAGCCAGAUGGGCGGGGUAUAAAUAAUAAAUUAUUAUUAUUAUUAGGGGCCAAGGUCCCUUCGUGAUCCCCCCUCAAUAAAAUAUUUGAGGGGGCUGGGCCCCCACCCCAGAGUUGAUGAGCAUUGCCAUUCAAAGGGUGUGUGUAUCUUGUGAUGGAUUAGGUGGUGCGGGGCUUACCUGCCCCCCCCCAAUAUUUUACUCAAGUUGGCACCUCUGUUUGGAAAGGACCUCAAGGGUCAUUUAGCCAAAAAAAAAAAACCCCAAGAUAAUGCAGGUUUGUUUGUAGGGUGCUUAAGGGCCUUUGCUUGACUGAUGCUGGAUUAGAAGGUUCAUUUCUGUUUGAGGACGCCUCCGAUUUGGGUAGUCGUUCGAAAAGUUUAAACUGCCAACAAGAAGAUCAGUACUUCCGCUAAAGCGAAAAUCAAAUGACAACCUUGGAUAUACAAUUCCAAAAACAUGAAAUGAGCUAUACAGUGGUACCUCGGGUUAAGUACUUAAUUUGUUCAAGAGGUCUGUUCUUAACCUGAAACUGUUCUUAACCUGAAGCACCACAUUAGCUAAUUGGGCCUCCUGCUGCCGCUGCGCCGCCAGAGCACAAUUUCUGUUCUCAUGCUGAAGCAAAGUUCUUAACCUGAGGUACUAUUUCCUGAAGCGUAUGUAACCUGAAGCAUAUGUAACCCGAGGUACCACUGUAUAUUAAUGCUGGUGGUCAACAAAAGAGGUUUAAAGACUCUCUCAAGGCAAAUCUAAAAAAAUGUAGUAUAAACACAGAGAACUGGGAAACACUGGCCUGCGAAUGCUGCAGUUGGAGAACAGCCUUUACCAAAGGUGUCAUGGGCUUUGAAGACACUCGAACUCAGGACACAAGGGAGAAACGUGCUAAGAGGAAGGCACGCUUGGCAAAUCCACACUGUGAUCCACUCCUGCCUGGAAACCAAUGUCCCCACUGUGGAACGACAUGUUGGUCCAGAAUUGGACUCCACAGUCACUUAUGGACUUACUAUUAAAACCGUGUUUAUGGAAGACAAUCUUACUCAGCUAUGAGUGAUCGCCAAAGAAAAUGAUUCUCUUAACAAGUCAUCUCCCCCCCCCCCCAUCUCAAAAUAGACCUUAAAAGAGUACAUACCAAAUCUGUAAUUGCACAUUUUUACAUUUUUAUGCUACCAUGUGUGACUGUCUAAUAAUCAACUUUUUGUUGGUUCACAAAGCCUGAAAAAGACAUAUCACAGCCAAAGGGUUUUGUGAAUGUUCAGCUGUAUGACCAUUCCAGAGUAAUUCGUUGUGCCCAUUUGGUAGAGUGGAUAACCUCAAAUGACAGAUCUGAUUUGGCGUGUCUUAACAGUUUGUGGUUAUGUAACACUGCAGUAGACUACCACAGCUUCCCAUACUAGAGUAAGCAUCUCAACUGACCCAUAACCCUUUUCAGUAUGACAAUAACCAUACGGUAGAAACAGAAUAUAAUUCAGGUUAUAUAAUUAUCUCACAUGGCAGUUACUGAGCCAAAAUAGUACUGCUGGCUUGCUGCAGUAACAAUUGGAAUUUAAUAUAUAUUGAAAUGCAAUAUAUUUUGAAGAGAAUAAUAGGUCUGAAUUUUUAGGGUAUGUUUUAUUAUGCUUCACUGUGGUUCUCUGCAUUUAUUGUAUUUAUCUAAUUUUACAUUCCAGUCCUAAGCACACUUAUUUGGAGGUCAGGCUUAUUGAUGUCAGUGGAACAGUUUUAAGAAAAUGUGCUUAUGUUUGCAGUAAAGGGGCAUACCCACACAAACAAAAAUCAGUGUUUCCAUAGAACUCGUCAAGUGGAAUGCCAGAUCUCAGGGCAUUUCACUUCUUCAAGGCUUGGUUAGGUAUCUGAUCUCUGCUUUGAUAUACAUUAUUCACAUGUGUAAUAAAGGCAACAUGUCUUAAUCAGGUUCAAGAUAGUGAUGUGAAAAUUAAUUUGCUUCAUAGUUUGUUCCCAGGUGGGAAAGUUUUAUCUGAAAUAAAGAGGCAAAUGCUGGAAAUUAAACCAAAGGCCCGAUAAAAAUGGAGAUCCUUAAUACUACUGCAGUAGAACCAAUUAUUAACAGGCAAAGAACAGUGGCUUCACGGUACAAAGGUACAGGUUUUUCUGCUACCAGGGAGGUUCCUUAACUUUAAUUUCAUGUUAAUAUCUAAAACAAUCAGCUACUGCUACUUUACAAAAAGACACACCAAAGAACAUUUCUUGGAUUAAUUCAAAAACAUCUGAUAAUCUAGUUCAGAAAAUAGAGUAUUUAAAACAAUUUUAUUUACAAAAGAUAUGUCUGUCUAGCAUUUGAAUUUCCUGAUAUUUCUCAAGGUAAAGAAAUAACCAGUGGCUUCCCCAUUGAUUGAUUCUUUUUUUAAAAAAAAUAUUUAUUUAUUAUUAUUAAUGCACAAUGAAAAAAGCCAUACAUCAAAACUGAACAAAAAACAAGUACAAAUAAUAAGUAACCCCCCCAAAAAAACACAGCAUUAUAACCAAAAGAAAAAAGGUCUUUUGACUACAGACUUGACCUCUCUUCUACUCCUUAAUUCAAUUACAUAUAACUUAUUGCUGGUAAAAAGUAUUAUCAUGGUUUAACUGAUUCUUGGUUUUUCUUUUAUCUAACUUCAUUCUUGAUACUACUACUGAAAUUAGUCAAAUGCUGCAACAGAGUUUAAACUUCUGUAAUUAUUUUUCAAAUAUAUUUUAAAGACUUACCAUUUUGAAAGAAA